rnacentral:rRNA from 1 species
CGAAGGGGGCUAGCGUUGUUCGGAAUUACUGGGCGUAAAGCGUGCGCAGGCGGCCAUCCAAGUCAGUGGUGAAGGCCCGGAGCUCAACUCCGGAAUUGCCACUGAAACUGUUCGGCUCGAGUACGAGAGAGGUGAGUGGAAUUCCCAGUGUAGAGGUGAAAUUCGUAGAUAUUGGGAAGAACACCGGUGGCGAAGGCGGCUCACUGGCUCGUUACUGACGCUCAGGCACGACAGCGUGGGGAUCAAACAGGAUUAGAUACCCUGGUAGUCCACGCCGUAAACGAUGAACGCUAGCCGUUGGCCAGCUUGCUGGUCAGUGGCGCAGCUAACGCAUUAAGCGUUCCGCCUGGGGAGUACGGCCGCAAGGUUG